rnacentral:rRNA from 1 species
GGCUCAGGAUGAACGCUGGCGGCGUGCCUAAUACAUGCAAGUCGAACGCACAGCGAAAGGUGCUUGCAUCUUUCAAGUGAGUGGCGAACGGGUGAGUAACACGUGGAUAACCUACCUCAAGGUUGGGGAUAACAUUUGGAAACAGAUGCUAAUACCGAAUAAAACUUCGUAUCGCAUGAUACAAGGUUAAAAGGCGCUACGGCGUCACCUAGAGAUGGAUCCGCGGUGCAUUAGUUAGUUGGUGGGGUAAAGGCCUACCAAGACAAUGAUGCAUAGCCGAGUUGAGAGACUGAUCGGCCACAUUGGGACUGAGACACGGCCCAAACUCCUACGGGAGGCUGCAGUAGGGAAUCUUCCACAAUGGGCGAAAGCCUGAUGGAGCAACGCCGCGUGUGUGAUGAAGGCUUUCGGGUCGUAAAGCACUGUUGUAUGGGAAGAACAGCUAGAGUAGGGAAUGACUUUAGUUUGACGGUACCAUACCAGAAAGGGACGGCUAAAUACGUG